rnacentral:tRNA from 1 species
AUCUAAAUAGUUUAAUUAAUAAAAUAUUGAUUUGUGGUAUCAAAGAUAUAAAAAAAAAUUUUAGAUU